CUGGGGAGAGCUGAGAUGGGUGUGCUGUGAUUUAUAUUGGGAAAAAAAAUAAAAAGAAGUAUUUAGAUUCUAACCAUAGUAGAUGUGUGACAUUUAUGUCAGCGUGUACAAUAUUAGAAAUUAAUGAUAGCCAAAAAACGUGCAUCCAUAACACUUGGUCAUGUAAGCAUGUACAAACCAAACCCUGGAAACAAAAUACAAAUGAGUAUUUCUGAGAAAAAUGCAAAUGAGCAUUUCUGAGAUUCCAGUACUUCUCAGUACAUUUGUACAGUUUAUAUAUUUAUGUGUUCGUAGGACCGGGUGUUGCCUUGAUGCACACUAUUUCUAUAUUUUGGUUGUUUGUUUGUUGCAGCCCCAAAGCCGAGUUCACGUAUUUUAAAAUGUUGCAAUCUCUCGCUGCUGCUUUGCUAAGAACUUCUCUGCCUGGUCAAAAGAACAACGUGGUAACACGAGGACUGGAUGUUCCGCUGAUCUAGAUUCAUCAUUUGGCCACCAGCCCCAUCCGUAAAGGAAGACUGUGUUCUCUACAGCACACUUCGAAAACUGGACAUGUGAAAAUAAACCAGCAAGAUAUCUUGCUUCAUAAACUGUGGACCAAUGCUGGUUAUUCAAUGUAAAUUUGGACAUUUCUUUUAAUGUGUGAGCAUUUCCUGUGUUUUUCCUUGAACUUUAAACAGCAAAUUGUCUGCAAAGUAAUCCUCAAGCGGUAUGAACCAAACAUUUCCUUCACUGGAUAAUACAUUUAAGAGUAUUUAUUAAAACUAGUGAACAUAAACUCUCCUCAUGAACUCAGGUCACAUGACUGUGCCUUUGUCACAUGACCAGGAUGACUGUGGUUAUUGGGUCUGCAAAGAUAUACUCAGAAUGGAUCAUUCCUUUGGCAUUCUAUCAACAUUUACAUGCAUAACAGCUCAUGUCUUCAUAUUGUACACAAAGUAUUAUCAAGAUGUUGGUGACUGAAAACCAUUAUCAUUGCUGAAUGUAUUCGUUGGCCAAAUAUACUAGAGAAUUGAGCUUUAUAUAUAAUUCAAUUUUUUAAAAUUUUUUAUUAAUACUUGUAUAACAUUUACAUUAUUAUGACAUUCCUGUGCACGUUUUGUGAUUAUAUUAUGCUUAUUACUGAACCGAUCCCAUCUAGAGUAUAAAUUCACAUGAGGUGAAUUUGUUUUUCACAUUCUUAGUGUUUAUUUUUUGUAUUGCUAAACGUUAGAAUUCAGAGUAUACCUUGAAUUUGUUUAAACAAUCAUUCAAUGAAACAAACAAAAUAAACCUAUGCUUGAAGAAUUUUGUAAGUAAACCGUGUACUGUAGGUGUUACCCCCUGGGUUCUGCUGAUGGAAUAGAACAUGUGCAGGUAAGGCACUAAACAGGUACUUUAAAAAAACAUCCCACAGGGCCUGCUGGAUUUCCAAAUGAAAACAAGGCUUAUAUAUAUAUAUAUAUAUAUAUAUAUAGCAGACACAGGAUGGGUAAGGAACCCAGUGGAAAAAUUUAGCAAAUGAUGUCAUCAGUACUGUCAUUUAUGUUUUAGUACAGGGUGAGACCUGCACCACAUUGAGUUAAAUGAAAU